UCGUAUGCUGGAACGCUGGGUAAGAUCGAGGGCUCUCUCUUUGCAGAUGAAUCAGGAGGCCUUUGAUGAAACCGUCUUGGAUCAUCGGGGAAGUUCGGAGGAGUGGCUGAUGAACGGAAGAGACAGAUGGAAGGUGCUGCUACACUCAUCACCUGUAGUAAUCCACCUGAGAGAGAGAGUUAUUUGAAACCUCAGUCUCGGCCUUCAGGAAACUUAGCUCGAGGAGAAACCUUCACCUCCAAAACAGCCCAUGAAUUAUUCAGUCCUGAUAUACAAACCCUUCAGACGGAUUUACGCAACUACCAACGCUCUUGGACGCUUUCCAACCUCCUCAGAGUUCUGAUGUGACGACGAACAGAAGUUUUCCUGAAUUUGAUCAGGUCUGAAAGAGUAAAUGAUAAAGUCUGGUCAUUUACCUGUGUCCAUCAGCGACGGUCAGAGUUCAUCAGGAAGCAGAAUAAUCCUUUGGGAAAAAUCCAGCGGGAGUGUGUUGAUGUUCAGGAUCUGUUGGGGAUGUUGUUUACUGAAUCACACCAGCGUGAAGAGACUCGUGCAACAGAUGGAGUUCCCAUUGACACGCAUUAUACGACUGACAGACCAUGAC